rnacentral:rRNA from 1 species
AUUGAACGCUGGCGGCAUGCCUUACACAUGCAAGUCGAACGCGAAAGGGGGGCAACUCCCGAGUAGAGUGGCGAACGGGUGAGUAAUACAUCGGAACGUAUCCAGUAGCGGGGGAUAACCUCUCGAAAGAGAGGCUAAUACCGCAUACGACCUACGGGUGAAAGAGGGGGAUCGCAAGACCCUCUCACUAUUGGAGCGGCCGAUGUCGGAUUAGCUAGUUGGCGGGGUAACGGCCCACCAAGGCUACGAUCCGUAGCUGGUCUGAGAGGACGACCAGCCACACUGGAACUGAGACACGGUCCAGACUCCUACGGGAGGCAGCAGUGGGGAAUUUUGGACAAUGGGCGCAAGCCUGAUCCAGCCAUGCCGCGUGAGUGAAGAAGGCCU